AAGUCUCUCCUUAAAUGGUCACAAUCUGCCAGGAACUGAUAAGGAAAAGGAUCCUGUGGGGACAAUGACAAGAAAUUUACAGCCAUCAACCCCAUGUCAGCACUGGGUGAGAAAACAAAUAGAAUUCCAGACAAUUCAGAACAAAUACUACAAAUCAGAGAAGAUCCCAAAACCUCCUUUCAAUCUUACACUUUUGAAAGACAACUAAAAUGCACAAAGGAUAUUGGGCAACUCCACACUAAUCGUUACAUUGUGCCUUUUCUUUUGUCUUUCUUCUCUUGAUCUCAAAUUAAAUUUAUCUUCAGUGAAAAGCUUUUUCUAUGGGGUAUAUCAUUUUAUCGCCAACGUAAAACACUCAAGAGGAUACCGAGGCAGAGUAAGGAUUUAUUUAUUUGACAGAGAGAGACACAGCAAGAGAAGGAACACAAGCAGGGGAAGUGGGAGAAGGAGAAGCAGACUUCCCACCCAACAGGGAGACCGAUGCGGGGCUCGAUACCAGAACCCUGGGACCAUGACCUGAGCUGAAGCAGACACUUAACAACUGAGCCACCCAGGAUUCCAUCCAGAAUACCACAUUACAUUAGUUGUCAAUUCACCUUAGAUUCCUGUCUGUGACAGUUUCUCAGAAAUUUUUUUUAUAACCUUGACUGUUUUGAAGAGUACUGCUCAGGUAUUUUGAAGAAUGUCCCUCAGUUGGAUUUGUCUGUUGUUUUUUCUCAUGAUCAGACUGGAGUUAAUGAGUUUUGAUGGGAAGACCACAAAGAAAGGUUACAAACUGAGAGAACAAAAGUGGACCACAAAAUCAGUAAUAAGUAGUGAACAUCUCUUCCUUCUGCAAAUCUCAGAUUCUAGACUCCAUUGGCUUUAACCAAAGAAGUAGAGAUGCCUGAAUGUUUCGAAUGGAGACUGAAACCAAGAAGCACUGGACCAGGAAUCCAAUAGGAAAGCAAAACAAGAACUAAAACUGUGGAUUCUCAUGUUUUUGUGCAUAAGUACUUGGGGUGUUAAUGUUAAAAAUGUUGGUGGGUCAGAGCACACCCUCAACUCCAUCCUCUCUGAAACAGAAGUUUGUCAUAAAUUAAAAUUUACAAGAGAGAGAGAGAGCACGAGCAGAGAGAGGGAUCGAGGGAAAGGGAGAAGUAGACUACCCACUGAGCGGGGCCCCUGAUGCAGGACUUGAUCCCAGGACUCCAGGAUCAGAACCUGAGCCAAAGGCAGACACUUAACCAAUUGAGCCACCCAGGCACCCUCCAAUACCAUUCUUUUCCCAUUGUGUAUUCAUUCCUCAUUUGUUAAAGAUUAAUUGACCAUAUAAUUGUGGAUUUAUUUCUGGGUUUUCUAUUCUCUUCUACUGAUCUAUGUGUCUAUUUUUAUACCAGUACCAUACUGUUUUCAUUCUACUGCUUUGUAAUAUAACUUGAAAUCUGUAUGAACUGUGUUUUAAUAUGCAUGAGUACCUAAUGUCUGUUUUGACAUUUUUAAUGAAGUGUGAACAUGCAGUUUGAUGACUUAUGAAACUAAUUAUUAUGUGUGUAUAAAUAUAUAUAUAUGUUAUAAUCAUACACGUAGUUUUUUUUUAUUUUUUAAACAAUUAUAUUCAGAGUACAGGAUCUCAGAAAUUAUUUCAUACUUGGACCAUAUUCCUUUGAGUGUAGAGUCAGAAGUACUUAGGUGACAUAGAGUUUUUAUUGCUAAAAUGUACAUAAUAAACAAUUUU